GUGCAUCGGGCCUGGCCAACCACGACUUGGCCAGGAGGCUGUGCCAGGCGCUCCUCCUUCCCGCCAACAUCGAGGCGAUGAAGAACCAGCGUGUCUCCGACAUGCUGUCUUCGUUCUACCCGAUGAUGAUCCGGGUAAGUCCCUCUUUCCUUCGUUUCCAACGUGGUUUCCGUAAGCUCGAUCUCCUGACGGUCGGUUUUGUUUUGUGCAGCUGGUUU
rnacentral:lncRNA from 1 species